rnacentral:misc_RNA from 1 species
UUAAUUAUGUAAGAUAAAUGUUCUUGAAACGAAAUUAUAUUACGUGCGCGAUUUCCGACCGGGGCGUAGACAAAUAAUAGAGAUGUAUCCUUAAUCUUUGCCUAAACUUUAGUCGAGAAAUGCUCUUUAAAAUUGUAAAAAUCGUAUCAAAAUUCGUUCAGUGAUGCUCGAUAUUAGUUUGAACAUACAUACGCUUACCGGGAACUUUAUGUAUAGAUAGAAUAAUAAUAUGCAGUAACACGCUCGUUACAUUCUUUAUUAUUGGGCUGGCAACUAAGUGAUUGCGGAUUUUGUUAAUAGACAUAUUUUAUCGUAUUAUUUCCGAAAAGGCAAGAAUGCAUCGCAAGCAUACAAGAAAUUAUGUGCCGUAUAUGGAAAUGAAGCCUUGACAGAAAGGAAGUGUCAAAAUUGGUUUGCCAAAUUUCGUUCUGGUGAUUUUUCAUUGAAAAAUCCAGCUGAAGUUGAUGAGACCCAUAUCGAGGCAUUGCAGAGAAGCUCAAUAUAUCGCAUACGUGCAUUUAAAAAAAAUUAAAAUAGCUUGGCUAUGUCAAGAAACUCGAUAUAUGGGUCUCAUCAGCUUAAGG